AACUUUCGACAACGGAACUCUUGGUUCUGGCAUCGAUGAAGAACGCAGCGAAAUGCGAUAAGUAAUAUGAAUUGCAGAAUUCAGUGAAUCAUCGAAUCUUUGAACGCACAUUGCGCCCGCUGGUAUUCCGGCGGGCGUGCCUGUUCGAGCGUCAUUAUACCCAAUCAAGCUCUGCUUGGCUCUGGGGCCCGCUAUACCGGCGACCCUUAAAAUCAGUGGCGGUGCCGUCUGGCUCUAAGCGUAGUAAUAUUUCUCGCUAUAGGGUUCAGUCGUUCACCCGCCAGAACCCCCAACUUUCAUAGGUUGACCUCGGAUCAGGUAGGGAUACCCGCUGAACUUAAGCAUAUCAAUAAGCGGAGGCU
rnacentral:misc_RNA from 1 species